UACGAAGGUGGCAAGCGUUGUUCGGAUUCACUGGGCGUAAAGGGCGCGUAGGCGGUCAGCACAAGUCAGUUGUGAAAUCUCCGGGCUUAACUCGGAAAGGUCAACUGAUACUGUGCGACUAGAGUGCAGAAGGGGCAACUGGAAUUCUCGGUGUAGCGGUGAAAUGCGUAGAUAUCGAGAGGAACACCUGCGGCGAAGGCGGGUUGCUGGGCUGACACUGACGCUGAGGCGCGAAAGCCAGGGGAGCGAACGGG
rnacentral:rRNA from 1 species